rnacentral:rRNA from 1 species
CCUACGAGAGACAGCAGUAGGGCAUAUUGCUCAAUGGGGGAAACCCUGAAGCAGCAACGCCGCGUGGAGGAUGAAGGUUUUCGGAUUGUACACUCCUUUUUUUAGAGAAGUCAAUGACGGUAUCGAACGCAUAAGCACUGUCUAACUCCGUGCCAGCAGCCGCGGUUAUAUGGAGGGAGCAAGCGUUACUCGGAGUCACUGGGGGUAAAGAGCGCUUAGGGGGGUUAGCAAGUCAGAUGUGAAAGCUUAUGGUUCAACCAUAGAACUGCAUUUGAAACUGUUAUUCUAGAGUAUGGGAGAGGUAGGUGGAAUUCUUGGUGUAGGGGUAAAAUCCGUAGAGAUCAAGAGGAAUACUCAUUGCGAAGGCGACCUACUAGAACAUAACUGACACUGAUGCGCGAAAGCGUGGGGAGCAAACAGGAUUAGAUACCCGAGUAGUC